rnacentral:lncRNA from 1 species
CCAAUACUCUAUUAUAUAAAAAAUUAAAAAUAUAAUUAAUAUGAUUUUAUCCAUUACCAUUUGGGGAUAUCAAUUAACCAUUACUAAUCUAAAUAUCAACAUGAUCUCAUAAUAUACAAAACCGACUCAAAACUUAGGCACAUGUUAUAUAUCAAAACGUCAAGGAAAUAUAAAAACUUAUUUGAGUCAAAAGUUGCGAUUUGGAUGUUGAAUCAAUCCUCGAGACUUCAAGAUUUCCUAAUAUCUGUGCACAAAAUAAACAAAUCAUAUGCUAAAUAAUAACGCUCAGUGCUACUUUCAUGAUUCAAGUCAAUGGCAUUAGCAUUAAUAUGAACUAAAUAAUUCAAUUCAUGAUUUAGUCAUAACCAUUUCAUUUCUACCUAUUCAUGUCAUAUGUUUAAAUUCAUGCAUUGUUACAAUUAGCAAAUCUAAAUCUUCAAUGAUAUACAUUACCAUUUCAAUUCAUAUAUUCAUAAUUCAUAUGCCAAUUGCAUAUACUAUCUCAAUGUAUACAUUUCAUGCUAUACUUUCUAACAACAAAAUACAAUCACUUUCAUUUGCAAUUUAUGUCAGUUUAAUUAAUCAUUCAUAUGCCAAUUUGAUACUCAACCUCAUUUUACUAUCUCGCUCUCUCUCGAGUCUCUUAACUCCUUCAUAUUCAAAUCAGCCCUCAGGGUUCGUUUUAAACCGGUUCGCAUGGUCUUUAACAAGCUAUCAAUAAUCUCAAAUUAUAUAUAUGUAUUUGUAAUAUCAUUUUGUGCCAUCAAAUCAUUUUAAAGAUCAUUUAAUCGACAUACAUUUUAUAGUCCGAUUUUAAAAUUCAAUUUAAUGUUUUGCCCAAUGCAAUCUUAGUAAACGGACCUGGACAUGCAGGUGAACUACGUGAGCAUAAACCACACCACUCUCAAGCACUGAAGUGCACAGCCCAUAAGUAACAAAUGCAUAUACAUAUGCAAAUACAUCCAUCCACCACACGAAGGUCUCCAAAGAGACAAUGAAUACUCGAUGAUCUGCAACACAUCAUAUCAUAAUCUCUACAUCGAUAGCAAACCCCUAAAGAAAUGUGCUGACCAUAUUGGCAUACCAAGUAUAUCCUAGCCUUUCGACGAAGUUUACAUGGGCAUCAACCAUUCUAUAUCAUAUUUUCAUUUCAUCAUCAAUUUAUAUAGCUUAUUAUUAAAUUAAUAUCAUCACAUAUUCAACAUCAUUGUUCCAUACAAUUUCUAUCAUCAAUUCAUAAUAAAAAGCAUUUAUCAAUUUAUAUAUUAUUUCUAUUUUAUUCAACUCAAUCCAAUUCUCAAUAUUCAAUUUCACCAAUCACGAAUCAAGUCAUAAGACAAUUAAUCAUCUUACCUCCAUAGUUAAUAUGCCACAAUCAUGCAUGUAUAUGUAUACAUACAUAAAUAUAUAUUACUCAAAUCAUAAAAGUAAGAAUCGAUAAUUCAACCACCUGUCAACGACUCUCGCCUUUCCUUUCUCUCGCGACGGUCCGAUAUCGUCUUUCGCUACAAUUGAUAAUUCAUUAAAUAAAAUAUUACCAGAUUUCAUUCAAUCCACAUCCAAAUACAAAGCCACACAUGUUUUACAUUUUAUUCAAUUUAGUCCUUAUACUCGGGAUUUGCAUAUUUUUCAAUAUUUAGCUUCGGAUCAAAACCCGAUUUUAUAUUCUAUUAUCAGGGAACCUAUAAUUAAUAUUCAUAGCACCAUCUCAUGAUAUGUUUUCAAUUUUAUUCAAUUCGGUCCCUAAUAUUACAAAGUUAACUGUAACACCCUAAACCCGGUCAAAAUGAUAUGACCAGAUAUUGGAGGUUACCUCGACCACAAGUGAUUUUUAAACAUAUACCACCUUAAUAAACAGGGUUUGAUUUUUCAAGGAAAUAAUUUAUUGAAACUCGAUUUUGUUACUUGUUUUCAACAACUUUCUAUCGCUUGAGUGGAAGCCCUCUAAAACAUUCAUUAUAAACGAACCAGUUGUUUUGAAAACCAUAUGAUCAUCUUGUUGUUCUUUUAAAAGACCGAUUUACUUUACUUUGAUUUGCAGCGAAAAAAACUCGUAAUUUAUCAAUUUUGAAAACAUUUGUACAUCUGAAUUAAUUAAUAGUGAAUACUUGCAGUUUAUUUAACUAUCUUACUAAAACCCAAUAAAAAUCCAAAAUCGAUGCAAAGUCCCAAAAAUUAUAAACAGUCCAAAAAUAACAAUUCAUGUUUUUUAAUUAAGAAUAAACCUUAAAAACCCAAUUUGAUUAUGAGAAUCUGACCAAGAGCUUCCAAACACCGCCCAAUCCUAGUCUUGAGGGUUACUUGAAAAGAUAAGGUAAUUGAGUGAGCUAGAGGCUCAGUGUGUGCCAUGGCCCCAAAACAAAAAAUAAUCACUUAAUGCACUGAUAACAUAUUAGAGUAGAAAUCCAGAUAUGGAGCAUGCUUAACAGUGCAACGUCAUACAUAAUAAUUCUACACCCAACCACUACACACCAUCUUCGUCUCACCCAACACACCAAUUAGGGUAAUUAUAUACCCAUCCAACCCAUAUACCAAACUAGUGGUCAUGUGCCAUUGUAUCACUAUGUACUCAAUCUGCCAUAUAUAAUGCGAAAAAUCACCAGAAUAGAUAAACAAAUUUUUUAAGGUAAACCGCCAGAAUUACAGAACAUAGUCUAUCAGAACUUCCUCCAUACCAUAUCCAUAACCCACCCCAAUGCAUAUGCAACAUCAUAACUCAUAUUCAGAUAUACUUGGAUUAAUUAUGCUCAAUUAUGAAUAUAAUAGAUCAGAAACAUGCUAAUGGUACUCACAUAUUUAUAGAUCAGACAUAAAAUUUACACGAGUUAGCAUGCUUUUAGAAAAUAUACAUACAACAACAAAUAUAACAUGUAAUAUUUAUUGGACAAAAAAUGUAACACUUAACAGAUUCAACAAUAUCACUGGCCUCGAACCAACGACCCAAAAUAUGGCCCUAACUAAACUUACUCAGAAUGCGCCCACAAGCCCUUACUUGAUGAACCCGUGUGGCCCACACAUCCAGACACACACCCAUGUGGCUAACACGGGCAGCCACAUGCCCAUGUGGGUCACACGGCUAGAUACACGCCUAUUGGCGUCAACUGUCAAUUUUGAUUUUGCACAACUUUAUGAGUUUUUGGGUUAGGGGCACACACCUGACUGUUCUUGGGACGUCAGCACUAUAGUGGCAGCCAAAAUCUGCAGACGACACCUAAAAAUUAACCAUUUAACAAGCAUUCUCAAAGAAUCGGCUUUUGCUCCCUAGAGCAUUCGACCAAAAUCAUUAGGGUGUUUGACCUUAGCAACCAAAAUCAGUCAUUAGCUGGGGCAUUUGACACUUACCCUUAGAAGCAAAGGUUUCCAACGCACUCAAAUUAUCGAGGGAAUGUGUGGCUCACGAUCCUCAUCUAAUAGCAUUACAAACAAUCAAUAACCAUGCUACAAAACCAACAAUCCCCACGUUAGAAAUCGAAGCAACCUUUUUAAAAAAAUGAGUGAUCAUAUUAUACUUACUUAAGAACAAAAUUAUGAUAUCACACUAAAGCUUCAAUUCACACACGACUAACACCAACACCCAAAGACAAGUGAUGGCACUGGGACAAAACAAAGUCUAGAUGACAACAAGACAGAAGAUAGGGAUGAUAAUGGAAGAAUAAAAAAGGGUGUUAAUCGUGUUGUAAUGGAACAAACGAGAAAUUAGAGGAAAGAGGAGAUAGGCAGAAGGAAAAAAAAUUCAAGAAAAAAAACUACAGCAACCUAAAGUGAAAGAAAGAGAAAUGAAGAGAAAAGAAAAUAGAACAUGGAAAAGAGAGGAAGAGGGGGACAACAAAAAGUGGAAUGGUCUCAACUGAUUGGGUCAAGUAUUGGGGAAAAUUUUAUAGCCAAGGGCACAUCUUAUUACUAAAUCUAGUGCAUCUUUUUGUAACAUAGACUAAUAGCACCUUUGCAAAGGACUUUUUGAGUGAGGGCUUUCAUCCUUAGAUGAUGACAGCAUAUCCCUUCAUUUACCUUCUUAAACAUGUAGCUAGCUUCUUCUAGGGAUAUGCGUUGUAAUAAGGACUUCAAAAAGAUUUUCUUAUUACAAGAAACCAUCUUUUAAAAUAUACCUUACGACAUGUUUGGUUCACUAGAAUGGAAUAUGAUUAUAAUGGAAUAGCCAUUCUGUGAGACUAAAUACGGCUGUAAUGGAAUUGAAUAGGCAUAACAGUGGUUCGGUUGGAUGGAAUGGAAUGAGUAUUGUAAUAGUAUUCAUAAGUUUGGUUUAGAGGAA